AGAGAGAGAGAGAGAGAAAGAGAGAGAGAGACAUUGACAGAGGCAAAUAGACACACAGAAAAGAGACACACAGAGACAGAGAGGUGACCUUGGCAGGAGAGAAAAAAAGAGAGAGAAAGAGAGAGACAGACACAGAAGGAGAGAGACAGAGAGAGACAGAGAAAGAGAGAAAGAGACGGAGACAGAAAUGCAGAGAGAGAGAGCGACACGGAGACACAGACAGACAGACACACACGCACACACAGAAAAAGACAGAGAGACAGAUACACAGAAAGGGGAGGGGAGGGGGGGACUGGAAGAAGAGGGAAAGCAGAUAGUCUAAGGAAGGUGAGAGGAAAGCUAAGGAAAAGAGAGGAGAGAAAGAAGAGACCUAAACCUUGCUGGGAUAGAGUCAAGAUCUCCCAUUCCUUUCACUCCCAGUUCCUCCCACUAUCCCGGAGGAGGUUUGGAGAUAAGUGAAGGGACCAGAAUGGGAUUCUGGGGGUGGAGAGAGACAGAACUAGUUUCUGUGUCCAACCUGGAGGAAGAACCCAAGGUCUAUGGAAUUCUCCAAAUGAAGUCUACUCCUCCCCUCUCCGUUCCCAUUCCUUUUACCACAUCUCCCUACACAAACUUUGAGGAGGGGGAGGAGAGCCUGGGGUUUGGAGGACAGAGGUCAAGAAGGUGACUCAUAAAGGGAAAAGCUCUGUGUAAGUAGACCCUGGAACCCCUCCUUCUACUCCCCCAUCCCCCUGCUCCGGGCAGCUGAGGGGACUGGGCUGCAAAUAGCCAGGGGAAUGAAUGAGUCAGUGAGGCUGGAAAUAACCCCUCCCUCGCCUACCCAGACAAUGGGGGAGGGAAAGAGACAGUGCCCCCAGCUGCCUGGGGCCUGAGGCUGAAACUUGUGCCGGGCUCCCUGUGCCCCUGGAGUCCCUGGAGUCAGGGAGGAGCUGGACCACUGGGCUAGGAGGCAGCUGGGCAGAGCAGGGAGCCUUGGCUUGUACCUGAUGGCUGCUACUACUUCUUCUCCCGCCUGCACAACUCGCCAGAUCAAUCAAAUGUUUAUCCAACCUCCAGAGGUGGGAGGUCACUCUUCUUGGGCCACCUAGCCAGACCAGGGGCCCUGCCCAGGAGAGCUAAUGGGAAGACGGAAGUUUCAGCGCCCUCCUCCCCCUCCCCUCUUCCCCCCGGCACCUGCCCUGUAGAAGUAGAGAGACUCAUAGCCCGGCACUUUCCUCACCUUCCAUUCAGCAGUGAGACUCUAAACCACAAUCUUCUUCCCCACCUACCGUUCUUCCGAUGGGAUGGCUAAACCAUACUCCUUCUAAUAAAGGACCUGCUAGCCCUGGGUCCUGAGGGUCCCACGAGAGCCAGGCAUCCUAGCUUUCCAGUCCUGGUCCCCAUCCAGGGGCAAGAGGGUCAUGGGGUUUAUUAGCAGCUCCUGGAGGAUCUAUCUUAGUGGAUGUAAACUGACACUUCGAGGACUUAUGAUUUCAUCUGGUGUGAGAAUUCUCCCAUUUAGAGGGUUGCCUUAGGUCCAGAGGGGUUAAACUGACUCACUCUUGCUCACAUAGUUGGUAAGAGUCACAGACUAUUUAAAUUCAAAGUUUAGUGGAGUUUAUGGAUCAUUUUCUCCUUCUUCUGUUUUCAGUUUAAAAUUGUUCCAGUCAUGAAUUUUGAUUAGCACUCCCCUCCUCCACUGCCCCUGGAUCCCCAACAAUGACCCAAUCUAAUUGUUUUGAUUAGAAUUGUGAGACUCUAGGUCAGUGGUUCUCAAACUUUUGUUUUCAGUAUCUUUAUUCUAUUAAAAAUAUUGAGGAUCUCUCUAAAGCAUUUUUGUUUAUCUGGGUUAUAUUUAUAGACAUUUACCAUAUUGGAAAUAAAAACUAUUUUUGAAUUUGUAGACCCUCUAUAGGGGUAUCAGAGAUCCCCAGGAUUCUCUAGACCAUACUUUGAGAACCACUGCUCUAGGCCAAUAGAGUCUUACUAUAAUCUUGAUUGGGCAGACUCCAUAUCUGGUGAGAAAUCUGCCUUUCCUAUAUUUUAUACCUUUGUCCAAAUAUCCAAAUUUCCUCCUUUACUUCCUCUUGAACUGUUCACUUCUUAAAUCUGACUUUCUCUUGUUUUUAGGGAGCAGCAAAAAUGAAAAUAGAAACUUUGUAUAGCUAUAGAAUACUAUGAAGCACCCUUCACUAUUUCCGAUGGUGUCUACGGCUCAACAUUCUUUGUAGCAACUGGCUUCCACAGCUUACACAUAAUCAUCAGCUCACUAUUCCUAAUUGUAAGGUUUUCAAUUUCUUGCCUGAAAUUUAUCAAUUUUAUCAAUACUGAGGCUUCCGUUGUGAUCAUCUCCUCCUACUUUAAAGUUUUGCUCUUCCCAUGGACAGGAAAAAAACUGGGAUCAAGGAGUCCUAGAUUAAUGUGAACUGGGAAUUCUAAGUUACCAAAAGAAAAAAAAAGGUGAAAUGAUAGGAGGGAAGAUCAGGAAAGACAAUGUUAAGUUAUAUGUCUGUUGUUCAGCUAUUUCAGUCUUGUCUGACUCUUCAUGAAUAUGAAUGUGAAUGGGAUGAACUCUCCCAUAAAAUGAAAGUGAAUAGCAGAGUAUAUUAAAAACUAGAAUUCUACAAAAUAUUGUUAACAUGAAACACACUUUAAGCACAGAGACACACAGAGAGUGAAGGAAAGGGCUAAAGUAGAAUCUAUUAUUAAAAUUAAAGUUAAAAAAAAAGUGGGGUAGCAAUUCUUAUCUCAAAGCAAACCCAGAUGGGGUUUCUUUGGGAGAGAUAUUGGAGUGGUUUGCCAUUUCCUUCUCUAACUCAUUUUUAUAGAUGAGAUACUGAAAGUGACUUGCAUGAUGUCACACAGCUGGUGUCUGAAGGUAGAUUUGAAUUCAGCUCCUCCUGACUUCAAGCUUGCUACUGAUGCAGAAGGUAUAUCUGACUCCAGUUUAUGAAUUCAAACUUAUCUCACAUUAUACCCUUUAACCAACUCCAUCUGCCCCAGUUUAUUCUUCUCUCAAGUUUUUUCCCCCUCUGGAAUCUUAAAUGUCUUUUCUCAUAUUAUUCUCCGUUCCUCAAACUGGAAGAAAUUCCCAUCCGGGACCUGCACCACAUCCAGCUGUUAGAAUCUUUCCCUUCCUUCAAGCGUUCCCUCACUUGCCACCACUCCUAUGAUCUUCAGUGUGCGAUCUAUGAAUUCACUCACCUCUUGGAAGCUGCAUUGUGGGCUUGCCCUUUCUCACCUCAAUGCUCUUAUAAGAAAAGCAAACCUAUUAAAAGUUUAAGAUUCUGCUAUUUCUAUAAAUCUGGUCUCAGAGAACAGCUGUGGCCCCUAAGAUCAAGUGGGACUCUCCAAACUUAGCCAGGCUGAUUCUCAGAUGGCUAUUUAGCCCAUGGAUAAAGCCAAAGACCUGGCUCCUGGAAGACUGAGUUCAAAUUCAGCCUCAGACACUGACCGGCUGUGGUGUUCUGGACAAGGCACUCUCGCUUCUAUUGGUCUCAGUUAUUUUUAUCUGCAAAAUGGGAAUAUUAAUAGUACCUACUGUUGUGAAAUAACAUUUAUAGAGUGAUUUGUAAAUCCUGAAUGCUAUAUAAAUUCUACUUUUUAGACAGGGAGCAUUCCUGGAAGGAAGCUUCUGAGAUCUGGCACUCUGUUGGUACCACAAGUAGGUAGCGGAAGAAGAACUCAAAGGAGGCAAACUUCAAAGUACUCCAGAAAUAGAAGAAGUUUGUGUUUGUGUGCACAUGGUAUUUGUUUUUUAAGCUGAAAAAAUGACUGCGUGUGACUGGUAAAUGAUUGUAAUAGGAUUGUUGUGAAUGUUGUAGACACAAACUCCAGAUUCACAGACCUCUAGAUGAGAGAGAGGACAACUUGAGGUGCUCUAACCAGUGAGACCCUAAGCAAAGGGGCAAGUGUUUCUCUCUGGGCCCCUAUAUAUUGUAGACAAAUAGAUGAAAGGCAGCAUGAUGUCAUGGGGAGAGAAUUAGCCUCAGAGUGUCUCUUGAAGUCUUGCCUCUGACUAUCAGGGCCGUGUGAUUCCCUUGACCUCUUAGGGCCCUAGGCAGCCCUGAGAUUAGAUUACAGAGGCAUCUGUGUUGGGAAAAGGAUUCUCCUGCUCCAGAAAUUCCAUAUACCAAUGAAAUUACAGGUCUAAUACCCUCCCCCUACAUUUUAUAAAGAGCUCAGUGUCUAUCUAUUGGUUCCCAUGAUAGAACGUAUGCACCUCGAGGGUGGGGAUUCUUUUUUUUUUUUUUUUGCCUUUGUAUUAUGUCUGGCUUUUAAUCAAGGUUUCUUCAUUGAUUGAUUAAUUGAUUUAGGAAGAAAGUUGGAUGUUUUGGAGCAGGGCAAAGCACACUGGAAACCUCAAUUUGGGGAAAGCAGAGAUUCAUCUGGCACAUAGUAGGUGCUUAAUAAAUACUUAUUGACCAACUGUGAACAGGAUGGAGCCGUCAGGCCCUGGACAUCGCCAUGGUGCAGAGAAGGAAAACCUUGGUUGAAGAUGAUGCCCCGAACAGUGAGUGGAGAAGCAAAUGAAAAAAUGUUGUUCACCAAGGACCCCUCUGCCCCAACACAUGAAGCAUCAGAAGAGGCAAUAUGGAGGCUGGGAAUGCAGAGCUACUCCUGGAGAUGGGAACAAAGUCAGCCCCCAGCAUUGGACUCUGGUGGGUCAUAGAAUCAUAGAUCCAGGACUGGGCAGAGCUUUGGAGGUAACUUCAUCCACACCUCUUAUUUGGCAAUGGAAGGAGCUGACCGCCAAAGGUGUUAAAUGAAUUAUCCAAAAUCACUCAACUAGUAAGGUGCAGAGGCAGAAUUUGCAUUCAGGUCUCCAGACUCCAAAUCCAGCCCUAAUUUUUUUUUUCAGUCCCACUUCUAUUGUAUUAUGCUACACAAUUCUCUGAGUCUUAAUUUUCUCAUCUGUAAAAUGGGGGUAACCACCGUGGUUAAAGCAUUAGAUCAAGAAGACCUGAGUUGAAAUUCAAUCUCAGAUACUGUGUGACCCUAGGAAAGUCACCUUAUUUCUGCCUCACUUUUCUCAUCUAUAAAACAGGGAUAAUAACAGAACUUCCCUCCCGGGAUUGUUGUGAGGGUAAAUAUGUUUAUAAUAAUAAAGUGCUUAGUACAGUGUCAGGCACAUAGUAGGCACUGUUUAAAUGUUUAUUCCCUUUCCUCUAGCGGCUCUCUCACAGGACUAUUGUUGAGUCUGAAAUGGAAUAACCUAAAUAAAGCUGGUUUUGACUAUUA